rnacentral:tRNA from 1 species
UGGGUAUGGCUCAGUGGUAGAGCACUUGUCUAGUAUGCAUGAGGCCCUGGGCUCAAUCCCCAGAACCACAA